UACGUAGGGGGCAAGCGUUGUCCGGAUUUAUUGGGCGUAAAGAGCUCGUAGGCGGCUUAGUAAGUCGGGUGUGAAACCUCCAGGCUCAACCUGGAGACGCCACCCGAUACUGCUGUGGCUAGAGUCCGGAAGAGGAGAGUGGAAUUCCUGGUGUAGCGGUGAAAUGCGCAGAUAUCAGGAAGAACACCAAUGGCGAAAGCAGCUCUCUGGGACGGUACUGACGCUGAGACGCGAAAGCGUGGGGAGCGAACAGG
rnacentral:rRNA from 1 species